UCCACGCCGUAAACGAUGGAUACUAGCUGUUCGGACGUAAGUCUGAGUGGCUAAGCGAAAGUGAUAAGUAUCCCACCUGGGGAGUACGUUCGCAAGAAUGAAACUCAAAGGAAUUGACGGGGGCCCGCACAAGCGGUGGAGCAUGUGGUUUAAUUCGAUGAUACGCGAGGAACCUUACCAGGGCUUAAAUGUAGAUUGCAUAGAGUAGAGAUAUUCUUUUCUUCGGACUAUUU
rnacentral:rRNA from 1 species